GCUUGUCUCAAAGAUUAAGCCAUGCAUGUUCAAGUAUAGCAAGUGUACAGUGAAACUGCGAAUGGCUCAUUAAAUCAGUUAUAAUUUAUUUGAUAGUGAAAUUGUACAUGGAUAACCGUGGCAAUUCUAGGGCUAAUACAUGCGUCAAUGGUCGGUCGACCAGUAUUUAUUAGAUACAAAGCCAGCCGUCAGGAUCAGGUGAAUCAUGAUAACCAAACGAAUCGCAAGCGCAAGCGGCGAUGGUUCAUUCAAAUUUCUGCCCUAUCAACUUUCGAUGUUUGGGUAGUGGCCAAACAUGGUUGCAACGGGUAACGGAGGGUUAGGGCUCGACCCCGGAGAAGGAGCCUGAGAAACGGCUACUACAUCCAAGGAAGGCAGCAGG
rnacentral:rRNA from 1 species